rnacentral:rRNA from 1 species
CCUACGGGAGGCAGCCGUAGGGAAUAUUGGGCAAUGGAGGCAACUCUGACCCAGCCAUGCCGCGUGCAGGAUGAAGGCGUUAUGCGUUGUAAACUGCUUUUAUAUAGGAAGAAAUAGACCUUGCGAGGUAAGUUGACGGUACUAUAUGAAUAAGCACCGGCUAACUCCGUGCCAGCAGCCGCGGUAAUACGGAGGGUGCAAGCGUUGUCCGGAUUUAUUGGGUUUAAAGGGUGCGUAGGCGGUUUAUUAAGUCAGUGGUGAAAGACGGUCGCUCAACGAUUGCAGUGCCAUUGAUACUGGUAGACUUGAGUAUGAUUGAGGUAGCUGGAAUGGAUAGUGUAGCGGUGAAAUGCAUAGAUAUUAUCCAGAACACCAAUUGCGUAGGCAGGUUACUAAGUCAUAACUGACGCUGAGGCACGAAAGUGUGGGUAUCAAACAGGAUUAGAUACCCUGGUAGUACCACACACUACGUAAUANAUAUAACUAUGUGUUCGGUCGUAGUGU